rnacentral:rRNA from 1 species
AGCAGUCGCCGCGGUAAUACAGAGGGUGCGAGCGUUAAUCGGAUUUACUGGGCGUAAAGCGUGCGUAGGCGGCUUCUUAAGUCGGAUGUGAAAUCCCUGAGCUUAACUUAGGAAUUGCAUUCGAUACUGGGAAGCUAGAGUAUGGGAGAGGAUGGUAGAAUUCCAGGUAUAGCGGUGAAAUGCGUAGAGAUCUGGAGGAAUACCGAUGGCGAAGGCAGCCAUCUGGCCUAAUACUGACGCUGAGGUACGAAAGCAUGGGGAGCAAACAGGAUUAGAUACCCCUGUAGUCCCUGUCUCUUAUAC